GAUGAACGCUGGCGGUAUGCUUAACACAUGCAAGUCGAACGGACUCUUCGGAGUUAGUGGCGGACGGGUGAGUAACGCGUGAGAAUCUGGCUUUGGGUUCGGGACAACCACUGGAAACGGUGGCUAAUACCGGAUGUGCCGAGAGGUAAAAGAGAAAUUGCCUGAAGAUGAGCUCGCGUCUGAUUAGCUAGUUGGUGAGGUAAAGGCUCACCAAGGCAGCGAUCAGUAGCUGGUCUGAGAGGAUGACCAGCCAUACUGGGACUGAGACACGGCCCAGACUCCUACGGGAGGCAGCAGUGGGGAAUUUUCCGCAAUGGGCGAAAGCCUGACGGAGCAAUACCGCGUGAGGGAAGAAGGCUCUUGGGUUGUAAACCUCUUUUCUUAGGGAAGAACAAAAUGACGGUACCUAAGGAAUCAGCAUCGGCUAACUCCGUG
rnacentral:rRNA from 1 species